UACGAAGGGGGCUGGCGUUGCUCGGAAUCACUGGGCGUAAAGCGCACGUAGGCGGAUUGUUAAGUCAGGGGUGAAAUCCUGGAGCUCAACUCCAGAACUGCCUUUGAUACUGGCGAUCUUGAGUUCGGGAGAGGUGAGUGGAACUGCGAGUGUAGAGGUGAAAUUCGUAGAUAUUCGCAAGAACACCAGUGGCGAAGGCGGCUCACUGGCCCGAUACUGACGCUGAGGUGCGAAAGCGUGGGGAGCAAACAGG
rnacentral:rRNA from 1 species